UCCUAUGGGGAAUUACCUAGGAUCUAUUCAGAAUUAGUUGGAAUUCUCUAUAGGACAGUUCCAGAUUGGCCAUGACGACCACCUCGCGGACCUUGGGCUUGACCAGAUGGGCCUUGACCUUCUCGAGAGCCUUUUCGAUCUUGUCGAGUCGUCGGUUGGUGAUAAGGUGUUCGAAACGGUGGGAAUUGUCUAGAAGGCGGCUGGAGUGGAAGUUCGCCACUGGACUGGGGCUAAUUUCAACAACUCGGCUGGAAUUGAACUCCAUUCGGGGAUUGGGUGUGGGUCUGCUUGAGGUCCAAGCCCACGCUGUUUCGGAACAUUGGAGAGAUUGAGGGGUAGAUGACUUCCUCGAACGGGUAGACGGGUUCGCUUUUGACGUAAGGAGUGAUUCCGUACCCAAAAAAUGAACUGCAGAGCCGGGCAGAACUUUUGCAGGUAGUUGAGACACUCUACUUCGGACUUCCGGGCUGGGUUCUGGGAAUGGGGACGUUUGGGUACGACUUCACAAACACGUUGUCAAAGUCGUAGACAGUGAUUGCCAUUGGGAAGGUGGUGGUUGGUACGGUUGUCGUUGGAACAGCUGUCAUUUGAACGGUGGUGAUUGGAAAGUUGGUCAUUGUGGGUUUGAUGAGGUGAGGAAAGUCCUUGGCUGGGCUAUAAAUACUCACCAGUUGUCCGGAAAAACCUGUCAGGUCGGGGUAAUGUCUGGAUGUAGAUGUCUAGAGGUGGAAUUUCUGGAUGUGAAGCGUCUAGAAGUGAAUAUGAGACACAGGGCUAGAGAGGCUUAGAGGGGAGACUAUGGGGAAGUCGAUGAGAGGAGGCAGAAGGCUCUUUUGCUUUUGGAAUAGUUGCGGUGAUUGAAGAGUCAAAGAUCGUCCGAAGUUGCAAGAAUUGUGAAUGUGCUUGCACCAAGGGGAACCUCGAACGCAGACCAACUGCUAGACCCCAGGGCGGUGCGCUAAAAAGAGGAACGGGAUCUGGCAAGUUGUUGAAUAGUGGACCACUAGUUGUGAGAGAUCGGAACUAGGUAUCCAGUUCAUAGUGAAACAACUCUGGGCUAGUUGGGGAAAUACGAGCCUGUAGAGAAUCAAAUGGAGAUGGGGUUGAUUGGGACCCGGGUCAAUUGGUCUCAGUAAUUUUGAUACAUGAUUCCAACAAGUUGAACAGAUCCAUCCUAGAUUGCUCUAGGCCGCCAAUAUCGGAACAGGCCAACAUCGAACUGCUAGAUCAUGAUCACGAGAUUGACCCUACGGCUUUUCAUGGUCACUGGUUCGGAGCUAACAGCCUACUGGAAAUAUGAAUGUGAGCAGGAGGGCGAAUGUGAAGCUGUUAGACUGACUCAAGUUGUCUUGUGAUUCGAGUGAUCCAUGGGCCGUCUCCUUCUUCGUAGUAGCAUACAGCACUUGACCCACACAGCGUCCAGAGUCCAAUGGAACCGAGGGGAAAAAUGUGGUUUUCAGUUGGUAUACGAGCAACUGAUAUGAACCGUGGCGAUAUGGUCAACAUCUUAGCUUCCGCCAGACUCGCAAGGGAGACAGUUUCCGUGCUUCUGCCUGAGGAGGUUUGCUUGGAGAACAGAGUACAUUAGGGACCACAUCCGCAAUUAUCGGAGCCCGAGCGAGCCAAAGCGGAAGGCUCACUUGAUCACUUGAAACAAUUUUCUGCCCAUAAUUCUGAAACACUUACGCCCGGCUCUUGAUCUUCAUUACAGUCUCUCUUAGAGGUCUACACGAUAAUUAGCCGCUGCUACUGGGUCAUACAUAAAGGGCUCCACUAAGAUCACUCCACUAAGAUCAAUGGUCCUGAUCUCAGACACUCGACAGAAUCUACAACCUCGACUGGGUAAUUGACCUCGAUCUAUGGUGUUCCCAGACUAUGGGCUCUACAAGACAAGAUCAAAGUGUUCCAACAGAGGACCACUGCUCAAACCAAGCCACUAACUUCAGUUUUUUACAAUAUCUCAUCAAUUAUACCAUUAUUAGCCGAAUGGAUGUCUCUUAUUUGUCCAAGAAAUCAUCCACAUAAGUGUAGACACACUGUUUAACGUGGUCUCGAAAAGUGUCUGGGGCACAGCUCUUCUGGCAGAUGGGGCAUUCGUAGGUAAUGGUUGUAGAAGCGGUUGUCAUGAUAAUUUGGUUAAUGA
rnacentral:misc_RNA from 1 species